rnacentral:rRNA from 1 species
GACGAACGCUGGCGGCGCGCCUAACACAUGCAAGUCGAACGAGAGAUGAAGAGCUUGCUCUUCAGAUCGAGUGGCGAACGGGUGAGUAACGCGUGAGGAACCUGCCUCAAAGAGGGGGACAACAGUUGGAAACGACUGCUAAUACCGCAUAAGCCCACGGCUCGGCAUCGAGCAGAGGGAAAAGGAGUGAUCCGCUUUGAGAUGGCCUCGCGUCCGAUUAGCUAGUUGGUGAGGUAACGGCCCACCAAGGCGACGAUCGGUAGCCGGACUGAGAGGUUGAACGGCCACAUUGGGACUGAGACACGGCCCAGACUCCUACGGGAGGCAGCAGUGGGGAAUAUUGCACAAUGGAGGAAACUCUGAUGCAGCGACGCCGCGUGAGUGAAGAAGGUCUUCGGGAUUGUAAACUCCUGUUGUUGAGGAAGAUAAUGACGGUACUCAACAAGGAAGUGACGGCUAACUACGUGCCAGCAGCC